AUUGAACGCUGGCGGCAUGCCUUACGCAUGCAAGUCGAACGGCAGCGGACCUUCGGGUGCCGGCGAGUGGCGAACGGGUGAGUAAUAUAUCGGAACGUACCUUUCAGUGGGGGAUAACGUAGCGAAAGUUACGCUAAUACCGCAUAUUCUGUGAGCAGGAAAGCAGGGGAUCGCAAGACCUUGCGCUGAUUGAGCGGCCGAUAUCAGAUUAGCUAGUUGGUGAGGUAAAGGCUCACCAAGGCGACGAUCUGUAGCGGGUCUGAGAGGAUGAUCCGCCACACUGGAACUGAGACACGGUCCAGACUCCUACGGGAGGCAGCAGUGGGGAAUUUUGGACAAUGGGCGCAAGCCUGAUCCAGCCAUGCCGCGUGAGUGAAGAAGGCCUCGG
rnacentral:rRNA from 1 species